rnacentral:tRNA from 2 species
GCCUGGGUGGCGGAAUUGGUAGACGCAAGGGACUUAAAAUCCCUCGGGGCUUGUCCCUGUACGAGUUCGAUUCUCGUCCUAGGCACCA